CUUACAUUGGUGAAGCGCGAUUUAUAAAAUAACUGUAGAAUGUUUCAUAAAAUCUUCAAAAAUCAAAUGCAGGCCUAAAAUGUUCAUUAUUUUUGUAAAUUUCGCUGUAUGUGUAUUCAUUCUACCAUCUACCAGUACAUCACCAACUAAUAGUGAUGAAAUUGCAAGGUCUCUCAACAGUGAGGAACUAGUAGAAAAAGAGUUAGCUCCGAUUGAACAAGCUUUGGAAAUGAUCGUGGAUCCCGAAACCGACAAUGAUAAAAAACUUGAGCUGAAAGGAGAAGUUCGAGAUACAGUGAAGAAAAUAAUCGAACGAGCUGUUGGUGCUGAAAGAGAAGUGGAACAGUUUAAAUUUGAAAAAUGGUGUUGUUCUGGAUAAGGAGAAGGAAAAUAUCAUACAAAGUGCUUUAAAAACCUUUGUAGUUCCUUAUUUGUGUCGAAAUCUUGAAUUGUAUGAAAAUGCUUGGGAUAGUGGCGGUUCAAACAGUAAUAAUUUUAACCCUGAUGAUACUGAAAACACCGAUUUUGAAUGCCAUGAUUUGGAUACUCAAACAAUUUCAAGUUACAAAAGCCACUCCAAUACGAGGGAUUUACAAGUUCAGUUCAUCCAUUAGUGAAAGAUUUCAAAUGCAGAAUUCAAUCGUUGUAUCCAGAACUCAGUCCACAAAUCAUGGCGAAAAAUAUUGGUUUAACGUUUGCAUUACUGAAUAAUGCAGAGCAUGGUGCCAUCAUCACGACGAACCUGAAAUGGCAAAACUUAUAAAUCCAGAUAGUCUCAUUUUGGCAUUGAAGCAAAGGGGCAUUUUGAAAGAUCCUAUAGUCCUUAGUAUCGUUAAAACAUUUGAACAGGUUAUUUCUAGGUCAUAGAGAGCGAAAAAAAUAAUUUAUGAUUGAUUUUGGAAGAGGUUCUGCAUUGAAAAAAAAAAAAUGAAAAAAUGGUAAUUAAAAUGAGGGAAAUGAUGUAGACUUAUGAAAUACCUAUUCUAGUUUUUUGCUUUCUUAGAGAACAAUAUUUACCUACCUACAGUGUAUUACGAGUAUUUCACGAAUGAUUAUUUUAUUGACUGUUCUGCGGAAGAAGGGCCUAUCUGUUUUUCAGUUGUUUUUUUGAGACAUUGAAAUGAAUUAGACAAAAGGCGAAACUGCGAGUUUUUUAGGGCCAAACCGACUCCACUUUUGAUGAGGUCAGUUUGGUCCUAAAAAACUCGCAGUUUCGCCUUUUAUAUAAUUCGUUUCAAGGUCUCAAAAAAACUGAAAAAACAGAUUGGCCCUUCUUCCGCAGAACAGUCCAAUAAUUUUAAUUAUACCUAAACCUACCUAUUCUAUAAUGAUUCAA